rnacentral:rRNA from 1 species
UUUAAAGGGUGCGUAGGCGGCCCGUUAAGUCCGGGGUGAAAGCCCACUGCUCAACAGUGGAACUGCCCUGGAUACUGACGGGCUUGAGUACAGACGAGGUUGGCGGAAUGGACCGAGUAGCGGUGAAAUGCAUAGAUACGGUCCAGAACCCCGAUUGCGAAGGCAGCUGACUAGGCUGUUACUGACGCUGAGGCACGACAGCGUGGGGAGCGAACAGGAUUAGAUACCCUGGUAGUCCACGCCGUAAACGAUGGAUACUCGCUGCGAGCUAAAGAUUGUUCGUGGCUUAGGGAAACCGAUAAGUAUCCCACCUGGGGAGUACGCCGGCAACGGUGAAACUCAAAGGAAUUGACGGGGGCCCGCACAAGUGGUGGAGCACGUGGUUUAAUUCGAUGAUACGCGAGGAACCUUACCUAGGCUAGAAUGCGCGUGACCGGCUCAGAGAUGAGCCUUUCCUUCGGGACACAGAGCAAGGUGCUGCAUGGCCGUCGUCAGCUCGUGCCGUGAGGUGUUGGGUUAAGUCCCGCAACGAGCGCAACCCCUAUGUUUAGUUGCCAGCACGUAAUGGUGGGGACUCUAGACAGACUGCCUGCGCAAGCAGUGAGGAAGGCGGGGACGACGUCAGGUCAUCAUGGCCCUUACGCCUAGGGCGACACACGUGCUACAAUGGACGGUACAGCGGGUAGCUACACAGCGAUGUGAUGCCAAUCUCGAAAAGCCGUUCUCAGUUCGGAUCGGAGUCUGCAACUCGACUCCGUGAAGCUGGAAUCACUAGUAAUCGCGCAUCAGCCAUGGCGCGGUGAAUA